UUUCCUUCUCAAAACACUCUUCCGCCUUGGCUUUCUCAACACUAUUCUCAUUAUCUCCUGUUUUCCCCUCCUUUGCUGGUUUGCACACCUCAUCCAAAUAUUAAUAGAAAUGCAAUGGCUCUUUAGGGCCAAAAUUGGGUGCUCUUUCCUCUCUCCCAUCCAUUCCAAUGGCUUUAUGUACUCCCUGUAUACUGAUUACUCCAAAAUUAACAUCGCCAGCUCAGACCUUUGCAGUCAUCUUUCAUAUCAUGUUUGUCCUUAACUAUCAGAAAGUCUACCCGACUCUAUCUCCAAGCGACGUCUUUUUGGAUCCGUUCUCCUCUCUCUGCUGCAGUCUCUAUUAUUACUUCUUACCCAAAACAGUUUUGCGGGUGGACUUCUGUCUACCAGUUUUUCCCCUCUCCAAUCUAUUUCCUACUCAGUAGCAAAGUACUCAGAUCACAUCAUCUCCUGCAAGACCUUACUGUGUUACUGAUCUCUCCACUAAGACCUGCAAGAUGCUGUGUGAUCUGGGUUCCGCUUCUCUCUCCAACUUCAUCCAGCAAUGGCUUGGGCCACACUGUAACUGCAGGUCCUGGCAAACACCAAGAUAUUUCCCUCAACGGAAAUUCCCCUCCUCCCACUCUUUACAACCUAGUUUCUUCUCUUACUUCAGGUCUCCGUUUUAUUGUCACCUCUUUAGAGAGGCUUUUCCACUUCUGGGAGACAGCAAGGGGCUCCACCAGAAGCAUGUCUCUGAUUCACAAACUAAAUGGUCCAGAGCCAUAUCCCCUCUAUCUGGCCCUUACACGCCAAGAGACAAUAUUCCUCUGCUGUAGUCAUCCCAGAACUAGGUGCCAGGAAACUAGCAACUACCUCAUAGCCUCAAACCUGCCAAAAUUAUUCAAACUAGCCAAUCCUAAGUAGUUCAGCCUAGCCUGCACACUGGCAACCCACUCCAGUAUUCUUGCCUGGAGAAUCCCAUGGACAGAGGAGCCUGGUGGGCUACCGUCCAUAGUAUCACA
rnacentral:lncRNA from 1 species